CCUACGGGUGGCAGCAGUGGGGAAUAUUGCACAAUGGGGGAAACCCUGAUGCAGCGACGCCGCGUGAGCGAAGAAGUAUUUCGGUAUGUAAAGCUCUAUCAGCAGGGAAGAAAAUGACGGCACCUGAGUAAGAAGCUCCGGCUAAAUACGUGCCAGCAGCCGCGGUAAUACGGAGGAUGCGAGCGUUAUCCGGAUUUAUUGGGUGUAAAGGGAGCGUAGACGGCGAGGUAAGCCUGAAGUGGAAGCCCGCGGCCCAACCGCGGAACUGCUUUGGGAACUGUUUUGCUGGAGUAUGGGAGGGGUAAGCGGAAUUCCUGGUGUAGCGGUGGAAUGCGUAGAUAUCAGGAGGAACACCGGUGGCGAAGGCGGCUUACUGGACCAUAACUGACGUUGAGGCUCGAAAGCGUGGGGAGCGAACAGGAUUAGAUACCCCUGUAGUC
rnacentral:rRNA from 1 species